UUCUUUUCCACCUUUUAGGUGCUUUGUUCUUUGUAAUAAAUUUUAGUGCUGGUUAUUCUUUGGGAUCACACUGCCUUUAUAAGCUGUGACGCUCACUGCAAAGAUAUACAGCUUUAGUCCUGAAGCUACGGAAAACAUGAACCCACCAGGAGAAACGAAGAACUCUGGAUGCGCUGUCUUAAGAGCUGCAACACUCAACAGCGAAGGUCUGCAGCUUUAUUGCUGAGUCAGCAAGACUGCGAACCCACCAAAAAGGAAAAACUCCCAACACAUUGGAACAUCAGAAGGGACAAACUCGGGACACGCCGCCAUUAAGAACUGUAACAAACACCGCGAGGGUCUGCGUCUUUAUUCUCGAAGUCAGCCAGACCGAGAACCCACGAAUUCCAGACACAGACUCAGCUACUCGGGAGGCUGAGGCAGGAGAAUCACUUGAACUCGCGAGGCAGAGGUCACAGCGAGCCAACAUCACAGCAUUGCACUCCAGCCUGGGCACAAGAGCAAGAGCAAAUCACCAUCUUUAAAAAAAAAAAAAAAACCCAAAACCUGUUCAACUUUGCUGGUCAUGAGGGAAAUCUAAAAUAAAACCACAAUUAGUUACCCACUUCUCAGAAUGGCAAGGAGGGGCUCCUGAAAUUCCUAUAUGUUGCUGAGGACAACAGUCUGAGCUCUCCUUAGAACAAGACCUUGCCUUACUCAUCUCUGUAUCUUCCAAAGUGCUCUGUCUGGAGCAUAGCACAUGGUAAGUGCUCCAUAAAUGUCUGUUGAACUCCCUGCUAGUAGAACAAUGAUGUGGGUUAAUUAGCAUAUAAUAUUAAAAUGUAGCUACAGAACUGAAACUGCAGAUAAAAAAAAUUGCUUAAUACCCAAGGAAGUUGUUGCCUGCUCUCCAAAUCAUCAGCACAGAAGAUAGCACUCGUCACUGUGGUUGGGGAAAUUGCACGGUGAAAGUCACAGGAUGGCUCUGCAAGGGGGCAGGGACAUCAGACUGGGGUCACGUUCCCAUGUGGUAUUCUGCGCCUGUAACUCAUAUGACACUCUGGCACUAUUUCUAAAUAACACUCAAGUGUCUGUUUUAUCAGAGUAUAACACACUUGGCUGGAAUAGUUCACUUACUGAUAUUCCACAAUUUAUGUAACCAGUUCCAUAUUAUGGGAUAUUUAUUUAGGUUAGUGCUACUUUUUUUUUUUUUUUUUUUUUUUUGAGAUGCAGUCUCGCUCUGUCACCCAGGCUGGAGUGCAGUGGCGCAAUCUCGGCUCACUGCAAGCUCCACCUCCUGGGUUCAUGCCAUUCUCC
rnacentral:lncRNA from 1 species